CUUAGUAGCGGCGAGUGAAGCGGCAAAAGCUCAAAUUUGAAAUCUGGCACUUUCAGUGUCCGAGUUGUAAUUUGAAGAAGGUAUCUUUGGGUCUGGCUCUUGUCUAUGUUUCUUGGAACAGAACGUCACAGAGGGUGAGAAUCCCGUGCGAUGAGAUGACCCAGACCUAUGUAAAGUUCCUUCGAAGAGUCGAGUUGUUUGGGAAUGCAGCUCUAAGUGGGUGGUAAAUUCCAUCUAAAGCUAAAUAUUGGCGAGAGACCGAUAGCGAACAAGUACAGUGAUGGAAAGAUGAAAAGAACUUUGAAAAGAGAGUGAAAAAGUACGUGAAAUUGUUGAAAGGGAAGGGCUUGAGAUCAGACUUGGUAUUUUGUAUGUUACUCUUUCGGGGGUGGCCUCUACAGUUUACCGGGCCAGCAUCAGUUUGGGCGGUAGGAGAAUUGCAAAGAAAUGUGGCACUGCUUCGGUAGUGUGUUAUAGUCUUUGUCGAUACUGCCAGCCUAGACUGAGGACUGCGGCUUCGGCCUAGGAUG
rnacentral:rRNA from 1 species